AGUCUUAUAUUCAAAAAUGAUAUUAAAUUGCAAAUUUAAAGGUAAAAUAAAUUUUAAGGCUU
rnacentral:tRNA from 1 species